rnacentral:rRNA from 1 species
GACAGAGGUGGCAAGCGUUGUCCGGAAUUACUGGGCGUAAAGCGCGCGUAGGUGGCUAGAUAAGUCCGGUGUGAAAUCCUUCGGCUUAACCGGGGAAUGGCAUCGGGGACUGUUUAGCUAGAGGCCAGGCGAUGGGGGUGGAAUUCCCGGUGGAGUGGUGAAAUGCGUAGAGAUCGGGAGGAACACCAGUGGCGCAAGCGGCCCCCAAGCCUGAGCCUGACGCUGAAGCGCGACAGCGUGGGGAGCAAACGGG